UCUAAACAUGCAUAAUCUAAUUUCAUGACAUUAUUCCUGAUUUUAUAGAUGAAGAAUCUGAGCCACUAAGAGAUGACAUCACUUGGCCAAGGUCACACAACUUCUGGGGCCAAUGUUCUGUUUUGCCUUUGUGAAGCAGAGGGAACACGCAUUGCACUUUUCUGCAGGAAAAACAAGCUGAUGUCAGGGAUUCUUUUAGAAAAGCAACUUUCAGGGCCAUUGCUGAGAUCACCACCCAUUCAGCAAAUGUCCCAAACGCUGAAUGCACUUCUGUGUCUCAGCCCCGUGGCAUAACUGGUGUUCAUCACGACCGCCUUCGACUACCCAGGAAAGGUUAAUUUAUAUUUUGUAAGCUCUGCUUAAUGAGGUAGGGGGAGUGAGUAACGAGCUUUAAAAAGAUCUCUAUCAGAACCAAAUUACGGAAGUUAAGCAGUUAAAUGAAUUAACCCCUCCACCCGAAAAGCUCGGCUAACCCGGUGACGCUUUCUGGAGGACCCUCAGCUUCAGACGUUGUCCCUUCUGGACGGACUGUGCUCACAGGCCACCGGUGUUUCUCCUUCAUCUGCACGUCAGGAAUGAGCAGUGUCUCACCAUUCUCUCCCUGGCAAGUACUCCCAGGAGAUGGCGGGGAUCACGCGGUCAAGUUCUCUUUCUUCCCCGGGCCUCGGUCUGAAAUUCCCCAAACGUUUGGGGCCCUGCAAUGCUGGGCAGCAGGCAGUUUCCCCAGCAGUUGCCCUGGCAUCUUGCCCCCUUCGCACAAAGCAAUCACUGUUGCAGAAAAUGAGGGUCCUGUGACCGUUUGGCACCAACCCCCGCCUGGCAUUCGCGUGGGAGAAGGAAAUGUCUGUCUCUCUGACAAUAGAUUCUGAUCACAACCCGGGCCCCUUUCAGAGAAACAGCUUCCCAUAGAAUGACUGCCUAGAGGAUACCAUACCGCACCAUGUCUCCUGUGAUCGGUGAAGCUUUCUCUGUUGUUCCUUAUUUUCCACGACCUUGACGUUUUUAGGUAUUUUAUUGAAUGUCCCCCGAUUUAGGCUUCUCUGAAGUUUUCUCAUGAUUAGACCCGAGUUAUGGAUUUUCUGGAGGUAUACCACAGAGGCAAAGUGCCCUUGCUUUCCACCCUAUAUCAGGAAAUGCUACGGAUUGGAAGUGAAUCACUAAGUCCAGCUUAUACUCAGAGGGGGGGAACUGAAACCCCACUCCCUGGAGGGGGGGAGAAUCUACAUCUAUAAUUUGGAAUUCCUCUAUAAAGAUUUGUCUCUUCCCGGUAA